rnacentral:rRNA from 1 species
AAUGGCCUAACGGCUGAACUGGCAACUUGGAAAAGUGAUAAGUCCAAAAUAGGAUUGAAUUCAAAAGAAUGAAACUUUGUUUAUAUAUUGAUAAUGACAAUAUAUAUAUUUUGUCUUGACCAAUUACGUGCCAGCAGUCGCGGUAAUACGUAAGAGACUAGUGUUAUUCAUCAUAAUUAGGUUUAAAGGGUACCUAGACGGUCAAUAUAGCAUGUAAAAUGUAACUACUUGACUAGAGUUUAUAGAAGAGGGCAGAACUUGCGGAGGAGAGAUAAAAUUUCGUUAUACCAAAGGACUGGUAAAGGUGAAGACAGCCCUUUAUUUAAAAACUGACGUUGAGGGACGAAGGCAUAGGUAACAAAAAGGAUUAGAUACCCCAGUAGUCUUUGCAGUAAAUUAUGAAUGCCAUAGGUCAGAUUUAUUUUUGGUUUAUAAAUGAAAGUGUAAGCAUUCCACCUCAAGAGUAAUGUGGCAACGCAGGAACUGAAAUCACUAGACCGUUUCUGACACCAGUAGUGAAGUAUGUUGUUUAAUUCGAUGAUCCACGAAAAACCUUACCGCGGUUUGUAUAUAUUUGAUAUACAGGAGUUGCACGGCUGUUUUCAGUUAAUGUUGUGAAACUGUGGUUUCCAUGGAAUUAACGUAAUCCCUGACUUUA